rnacentral:tRNA from 1 species
GUUUCAGUAGCGUAGUGGUUAUCACGUUCGCCUAACAUGCGAAAGGUCCUCUGUUCAAAACAGGGCAGAAACC